UACGGAGGGUGCGAGCGUUGUCCGGAAUCAUUGGGCGUAAAGGGCGCGUAGGUGGCGGGACAAGCGUGCGGUGAAAGCUUGGGGCUCAACCCCGAGUCGGCCGUGCGAACUGUCUUGCUUGAGCACUGUAGAGGCAGGCGGAAUUCCUGGUGUAGCGGUGGAAUGCGCAGAUAUCAGGAGGAACACCGGUGGCGAAGGCGGGAUCCUGGGCCAGUACUGACGCUGAGGCGCGAAAGCUAGGGGAGCGGAACAGG
rnacentral:rRNA from 1 species